GGGCGCAUAGCUCAACGGCAGAGCAGCCGUCUUAUACACGGCCGGUUCCAGGUUCGAAUCCUGGUGCGCCCA
rnacentral:tRNA from 1 species